UAUACAUGCAGUCGAGCGAACAGAUGAGAAGCUUGCUUCUCUGAUGUUAGCGGCGGACGGGUGAGGUAACACGUGGGUAACCUACCUAUAAGACUGGGAUAACUCCGGGAAACCGGGGCUAAUACCGGAUAAUAUUUUGAACCGCAUGGUUCAAUAGUGAAAGACGGUUUCGGCUGUCACUUAUAGAUGGACCCGCGCCGUAUUAGCUAGUUGGUAAGGUAACGGCUUACCAAGGCGACGAUACGUAGCCGACCUGAGAGGGUGAUCGGCCACACUGGAACUGAGACACGGUCCAGACUCCUACGGGAGGCAGCAGUAGGGAAUCUUCCGCAAUGGGCGAAAGCCUGACGGAGCAACGCCGCGUGAGUGAUGAAGGUCUUCGGAUCGUAAAACUCUGUUGUUAGGGAAGAACAAAUUUGUUAGUAACUGAACAAGUCUUGACGGUACCUAACCAGAAAGCCACGGCUAACUACGUGCCAGCAGCCGCGGUAAUACGUAGGUGGCAAGCGUUAUCCGGAAUUAUUGGGCGUAAAGCGCGCGUAGGCGGUUUCUUAAGUCUGAUGUGAAAGCCCACGGCUCAACCGUGGAGGGUCAUUGGAAACUGGGAAACUUGAGUGCAGAAGAGGAGAGUGGAAUUCCAUGUGUAGCGGUGAAAUGCGCAGAGAUAUGGAGGAACACCAGUGGCGAAGGCGGCUCUCUGGUCUGUAACUGACGCUGAUGUGCGAAAGCGUGGGGAUCAAACAGGAUUAGAUACCCUGGUAGUCCACGCCGUAAACGAUGAGUGCUAAGUGUUAGGGGGUUUCCGCCCCUUAGUGCUGCAGCUAACGCAUUAAGCACUCCGCCUGGGGAGUACGACCGCAAGGUUGAAACUCAAAGGAAUUGACGGGGACCCGCACAAGCGGUGGAGCAUGUGGUUUAAUUCGAAGCAACGCGAAGAACCUUACCAAAUCUUGACAUCCUUUGACCGCUCUAGAGAUAGAGUCUUCCCCUUCGGGGGACAAAGUGACAGGUGGUGCAUGGUUGUCGUCAGCUCGUGUCGUGAGAUGUUGGGUUAAGUCCCGCAACGAGCGCAACCCUUAAGCUUAGUUGCCAUCAUUAAGUUGGGCACUCUAGGUUGACUGCCGGUGACAAACCGGAGGAAGGUGGGGAUGACGUCAAAUCAUCAUGCCCCUUAUGAUUUGGGCUACCACCACGUGCUACAAUGGAUAAUACAAAGGGCAGCGAAUCCGCGAGGCCAAGCAAAUCCCAUAAAAUUAUUCUCAGUUCGGAUUGUAGUCUGCAACUCGACUACAUGAAGCUGGAAUCGCUAGUAAUCGUAGAUCAGCAUGCUACGGUGAAUACGUUCCCGGGUCUUGUACACACCGCCCGUCACACCACGAGAGUUUGUAACACCCGAAGCCGGUGGAGUAACCUUUUAG
rnacentral:rRNA from 2 species